CGGAGGGUCGGAAUCCGGAAGGAAAACAAUCCGGGGAGAGUAAGGUAGCCGGGACCUGCUGCCAGAGGGAGGUGGAUCGGGCCAGGAGCGGCCGGGGCGCGGCGUGGGGACGAUGGCCGCCGAGAGCCCACGGAAGACGACUGAACCGAGAAGCAAGACGCUCAGCAUACAUGUUGUGACAUGGAACGUGGCCUCCGCAGCACCUCCUCUGGACCUCAGUGAUCUCUUGCAGCUGAACAAAGACAACCUGAAUCUGGACAUGUAUGUCAUUGGUUUGCAGGAAAUGAACUGUGGGAUCAUGAGCCUCCUUUCUGACACUGCCUUUGAAGACCCAUGGAGCAGUUUCUUCAUGGAUGUGCUUUCCCCUCUGAGCUUCGUCAAGGUUUCCAGUGUCCGCAUGCAGGGGCUCCUCUUACUGUUCUUUGCCAAGCAUCAGCAUUUGCCCUUUGUCCAGAUCCUCUCUACUAAAUCCACCCCCACUGGCCUCUUCGGGUACUGGGGGAACAAAGGGGGCGUCAACAUCUGCCUGAAGCUCUAUGGCUACUACAUCAGCAUCGUCAACUGCCACCUGCCCCCUCACAUGGCCAACAAUGACCAGCGGCUGGAGCACUUUGAUCGGAUCCUGGAGAUGCAAAAUUUUGAGGGACAGGAUAUCCCCAACAUCCUGGACCAUGACCUCAUUCUGUGGUUUGGAGACAUGAACUUCCGGAUUGAUGACUUUGGGCUGCAUUUUGUCCGGGAAUCCAUAAAAAAUCGGCGUUACAGUGACCUGUGGGAGAAGGAUCAGCUCAGCAUCGCCAAGAGACACGAUCCACUGCUCCGGGAGUUCCAGGAGGGCCCCCUGCUCUUCCCACCCACCUACAAGUUUGAUAAGAACUCCAACAACUAUGACACCAGUGAGAAAAAACGCAAGCCUGCUUGGACCGACCGUAUCCUGUGGAGGUUGAAGCGGCAGCCCCAGGCCAACCCCCAAACCCAGAGGCCACCAGCCCCCCACUUCUUCCUGUCUCUGAGGAGCUAUGUCAGCCACAUGAUGUACUGUGUCAGUGACCAUAAGCCUGUGACCAGCACCUUUGACUUGGAGCUGAAGCCUUUGGUGUCUACCCCACCGAUCACCCUGAUGCCUGAGGGGCUGUGGACCAUGGAGAACGUCAUGUUGAUCAGCUACUCCUUGACCCCAGACUUUCCCAGCAGCCCCUGGGACUGGAUUGGACUAUACAAGGUGGGGCUGCGCCACAUUAAUGACUAUGUGUCCUAUGUCUGGGUCAGGGACAACCAGGUCUCCUUCAGCGACGGGCUGAGCCAGGUACCUGCCUGCUUCCCUGAGAUAGGUUUACUUCAAUAUCAGCGACAUCCCUGAGACCGAGGGCCAGUUUCUCCUCUGUUACUAUAGCAACAAUCUGCAUUCUGUGGUGGGAAUAAGCAAACCCUUCAAGAUCCAGCCUGGCUCCUCCUUGGCAGAGGACCCACUGGGUGAAUCCCAACCACACAUCUGAGCCUGGAUAAGAGUGGUUCCAGGGCGGAGGCCAGAGCUGGCAGCCAGCUCUGCCCAUCACUGCCAGGAGCACCAGGGGCCAGGCCCAGCCCCCAGAGGAGGUAGCAGGUAUCCUCCACCUCCCAGGGGGAGCUCUAGCCACACUCCUUGGCUCUCUCUGGUCCAGAUCUCUAGAAUUGGCCCCUUAAAUACAGGUUUUUGUUGCUGAGAUAUGAGUGAAACCAACUAGUUUAUCAACACAGAAGACCUGGGACAGACCCCUGGAUGUGGGAAGGACCCUUCAGCCUAUAUCUCGUUUCUCGAUUUUCCCCCCACACACUUCCAGUCCUGCCCAAGCAGGCCUGCCAGGCACAUGCCCCAUCUGGCACAGGCCUGCAUUCUUGUCACGGCAUCCUGGGCCUCAGGCUGCCUAGGAGGGGGAGAUGCUCACAUUUGCACAGGCCCCAUAGACUGCUUGGCACAAGCAGCCUGGGUUCUGGGAGUCUUGGCAUCUCGUUGCCCAUCCCCCUGGGGGAUGGGCAGAGGGUGUGGGAUCCCUGCUUUUGGCAAAAGCAAUUAGACUAAGUGGGCAGGAUGAAGGGCCCCUCCACCCAAGCUCUUAGUAAGUGUUGUGGGUAGGAGCCUGACCCAUGGAGUCUGAUGCAGAAGUUCACUGUCUGAGCAAAGGAUUGGCCCCAGAUUGGCUUGUGCUGGUGGGUCAGGUUCCAUGCCCUAACCUGCCCUCCUGUGAAAGGGUUGGCAGGUGAUAGAGGAGCUGUGGCCACAGACUUUUCCAGGGGCUUUCUUGCCCAGUCGAGCUCAUCUGCUCCUUCCCACCCUUACCUGCAGUGACUGGCCAGGAACCCACCCUCUCUCUAGACUGCCCUAGCACCUGAAGCAGAGGCAGGCAGAGAAGGGAGCCAGGAUCCAGUCAUUUUGGAGAAUCCGGCCUUGAGGGUCUUCUGAGAGCAUUCUCUGGGUGCUGUGUGGGCACACAGUCCCACUCCUGCCACUUGCCUCCAGCCACUGGUGAUUCAAUGGCCCUUCUCCCAGGAGAAGACACCUCAGGGAACCUGCUCUGUGACGGUCACAUCCAUCCUCUGACCUGAGACUGAGGGACACUCCAGUCACUCUGUGAUCCAUACUCCACCCUGGGAUCCGUGUGUACCAUCAAGAAUUGUCCCCCUGGCUUCUAGUGGCCCAUGGCUGUGUUCUGUGUCUGUUGUAUUGGGGGAUCAUUAGAAACAUGACUUUUACACUUG